rnacentral:lncRNA from 1 species
CUGAAAUGUUUAUUAUCUGUUUUAAAAGAAAUGUUUUAUUGUUAGAAAAGUGAAUUUAUUUCACACCUUAUGUUCUUGUUCUUUCUGCUUCUGUGGGAUGAUGGAUAAAGGUGGAAGGCUACAGAUCAGACUCCCUGAGGCUGUUGCAAGAGGCUCUACAGAUGAACCAAAGUGAAACCAGCCCUUCCUCCCCCAGUCCCACCCACGGUGAAAUGGGCCCUGCUUCUGCUGGUCCUGAAUCUGCUGCUGCUGAAGUGUGGGAGGAGCAGCCGGCCUUGUCAGAGGAACCAGUGACCGGUGGAGAUGAGCUCAGCGGACUGGAGACGGCCCUCAAGGCAGAGCGCGAACGUGAGGAAGCGGAGUCUGGCCUGGGCAGCCCGUCUCAGGAGACGUGUGGAUCUGAAGGCGUGGCGUUCAUCGGACUUGACGGUUUAUGUAGCUCUCAGCAGGCAAUGUCGUCCUCGUCACAUAGAGCAGACCCUGCUGAACUACAACUCCCAUCAGCCCCUAGCAACAAAGAAGAGGAAGAGGAGU